rnacentral:rRNA from 1 species
UGGGGAAUAUUGGACAAUGGGGGCAACCCUGAUCCAGCAAUGCCGCGUGUGUGAAGAAGGCCUUCGGGUUGUAAAGCACUUUUAUCGGGAAAGAAACACGCAGGGCUAAUACCCUUGCGGACUGACGGUACCCGAUGAAUAAGCACCGGCUAACUCCGUGCCAGCAGCCGCGGUAAUACGGAGGGUGCAAGCGUUAAUCGGAAUUACUGGGCGUAAAGCGUGCGUAGGUGGUUCGUUAAGUCCGUUGUGAAAGCCCCGAGCUCAACUUGGGAAUUGCAGUGGAUACUGGCGAGCUGGAGUGCGGUAGAGGAAGGUGGAAUUCCCGGUGUAGCGGUGAAAUGCGUAGAGAUCGGGAGGAACACCAGUGGCGAAGGCGGCCUUCUGGACCAGCACUGACACUCAAGCACGAAAGCGUGGGGAGCAAACA